UGUGUGUGUGUGGGGGGGGGCAGGAAAUGGAAGUGAUGGUGAUGGUGGUUGGUCCAUGCAUGGAAGACAUAUAGAAAGAAAAACAAAGAGAGAAGAAAAAGUGCACAAACAUUAGGAUGGACUGGUGUGGACACACUGUGCUUGCCUGUGCUGUGACUGAAGAGUUUAUUAUGGGGUGUGUUAAAGAGCUGUGUCACACUGUUGUGCUCACCUUUACCUGUACAUAACAAUUCAAAUUUUUAGACAAAGGAAUUUAAUUGUUUGAAAAAAUGUGCUUGUUUAAUCUGUGUUAAUUAUGUAUGUGCUGUAGGUAUCGGUGAUUAACUGUGCUGUAGGUAUCUGAGAUUAACUGUGCUGUAGGUAUCUGAGAUUAACUGUGCUGUAGGUAUCGGUGAUUAACUGUGCUGUAGGUAUCUGAGAUUAACUGUGCUGAUUGGUUAAUUGCAGCAUGAUGGAAGUCAGAUGGUUGGGUCUGGGCGGAGUUAAUCAUAUCCUACACAAAACUAGAACAUCUCCAUUCUAAUUUCAUCAACACUUCUCUCUCUCUCUCUCUCUCACACACACACACACACACACACACGUAGUAGCAGUCUCUGUUAUUCACAAUUCCAUAGUGGACAAACUUGACAAGACACUUACAGACCAUCACUAAUUAAAUUAAUGACUUUUCUUUGUUCUGAUUUGAUGUGUAAUAUUUUAAUUCCGAGUGGUGGAGUGGUGGAGGAGGAGUGGUGGGGGAGUGGUGGUUGGGGGA
ensembl:lncRNA